AGAGUUUGAUCCUGGCUCAGAUUGAACGCUGGCGGCAGGCCUAACACAUGCAAGUCGAACGGUAACAGGAAGCAGCUUGCUGCUUCGCUGACGAGUGGCGGACGGGUGAGUAAUGUCUGGGAAACUGCCCGAUGGAGGGGGAUAACUACUGGAAACGGUAGCUAAUACCGCAUGACGUCGCAAGACCAAAGAGGGGGACCUUCGGGCCUCUUGCCAUCGGAUGUGCCCAGAUGGGAUUAGCUAGUUGGUGAGGUAACGGCUCACCAAGGCGACGAUCCCUAGCUGGUCUGAGAGGAUGACCAGCCACACUGGAACUGAGACACGGUCCAGACUCCUACGGGAGGCAGCAGUGGGGAAUAUUGCACAAUGGGCGCAAGCCUGAUGCAGCCAUGCCGCGUGUAUGAAGAAGGCCUUCGGGUUGUAAAGUACUUUCAGCGGG
rnacentral:rRNA from 1 species